rnacentral:rRNA from 1 species
UGCGAGUGAAGCGGGAAGAGCUCAAAUUUAAAAUCUGGCGGUCUUUGGCCGUCCGAGUUGUAGUCUGGAGAAGUGCUUUCCGCGCUGGACCGUGUAUAAGUCUCUUGGAACAGAGCGUCAUAGAGGGUGAGAAUCCCGUCUUUGACACGGACUACCAGUGCUUUGUGAUGCGCUCUCAAAGAGUCGAGUUGUUUGGGAAUGCAGCUCAAAAUGGGUGGUGAAUUCCAUCUAAAGCUAAAUAUUGGCGAGAGACCGAUAGCGAACAAGUACCGUGAGGGAAAGAUGAAAAGCACUUUGGAAAGAGAGUUAAACAGUACGUGAAAUUGCUGAAAGGGAAACGCUUGAAGUCAGUCGCGUCGUCUGGAACUCAGCCUUGCUUUCGCUUGGUGCACUUUCCGGACGACGGGCCAGCAUCGAUUUUGACCGUCGGAAAAGGGCUGGAGUAAUGUGGCACCUCCGGGUGUGUUAUAGACUCUAGUCGCACACGGCGGUCGGGAUCGAGGAACGCAGCGCGCCGCAAGGCAGGGGUUCGCCCACUUUCGCGCUUAGGAUGCUGGCAUAAUGGCUUUAAACGACCCGUCUUGAAACACGGACCAAGGAGUCUAACAUACCUGCGAGUGUUUGGGUGGCAAACCCGAGCGCGUAAUGAAAGUGAAAGUUGAGACCUCUGUCGUGGAGGGCRDVRACGCCCGGACCUGACGUUCUCUGACGGAUCCGCGGUAGAGCAUGUAUGUUGGGACCCGAAAGAUGGUGAAMWRDRSSUGAAUAGGGUGAAGCCAGAGGAAACUCUGGUGG